rnacentral:rRNA from 1 species
UACGGGGGGGGCAAGCGUUGUUCGGAAUUACUGGGCGUAAAGGGCUCGUAGGUGGCCAACUAAGUCAGACGUGAAAUCCCUCGGCUUAACCGGGGAACUGCGUCUGAUACUGGAUGGCUUGAGGAACCUAGAGGUGAGCAGAACAGAUGGUGGAGCGGUGAAAUGCGUUGAUAUCAUCUGGAAUACCGGAGGCGAAGGCGGCUCACUGGGAGUUUUCUGACGCUGAGGAACGAAAGCCAGGGUAGCGAACGGG